AGAGACUAUUGUUAAUUGCAAUACAUGCAGGGAGAGAGUUAUUGUUCAUGAUGUGAAGUUGUAAUUAUAGAUAGUUUAGUUAUGUUUAGGAGAAAAUGAGAGGGACAAACUAUUCUAUUUACUUUGAGUAGUAUGUGUGUGGUAUCUCUUGGGUAUAAUAGGGUUAAUAGGCAGUGAGUGAAGUUUCGAGCUUAUUGAUAUAUUUAUUAUUUGAUGAUAAUGGAAGAUGACAUA
rnacentral:misc_RNA from 1 species